CCUACGGGUGGCAGCAGUGAGGAAUAUUGGUCAAUGGGCGGAAGCCUGAACCAGCCAAGUCGCGUGAGGGAUUAAGGCCCUGCGGGUUGUAAACCUCUUUUGCCGGGGAGCAGUGGGCCGCACGUGUCCCGACCGGGAGAGUACCCGGAGAAAAAGCAUCGGCUAACUCCGUGCCAGCAGCCGCGGUAAUACGGAGGAUGCGAGCGUUAUCCGGAUUUAUUGGGUUUAAAGGGUGCGUAGGCGGGCAGUUACGCCGGUGGUCAAAUGUUGGGGCUCAACCCCGUCCUGCCAUUGAAACUGGGUGCCUUGAGUGGACGAGAAGUAUGCGGAAUGCGUGGUGUAGCGGUGAAAGGCAUAGAUAUCACGCAGAACCCCGAUUGCGAAGGCAGCAUACCGGCGCCCUACUGACGCUGAAGCACGAAAGUGCGGGUAUCGAACAGGAUUAGAUACCCCAGUAGUC
rnacentral:rRNA from 1 species